UAGUCGGAGGUGUGUCUCGGACGGUCGGUUCGCCGCUUGUCGGUGCUCAACUGGCCGGUCCGGACGUCCUGCCGGUGGGGCCGUGAGGCUCCGUUAUCCUUCUUUGGUCCUCUUCACCGAGUGCCUUGGUGGGCCGGCACGUUUACUUUGAACAAAUUAGAGUGCUCAAAGCAGGCCGUUGGUCGCCUGAAUACUGUGUGCAUGGAAUAAUGGAAUAGGACCUCGGUUCCAUUUUGUUGGUUUUCAGAACUCGAGGUAAUGAUUAAUAGGGACGGACGGGGGCAUUCGUAUUGCGACGUUAGAGGUGAAAUUCUUGGAUCGUCGCAAGACGAACCGAUGCGAAAGCAUUUGCCAAGAACGUUUUCGUUGAUCAAGAACGAAAGUUAGAGGUUCGAAGGCGAUCAGAUACCGCCCUAGUUCUAACCAUAAACGAUGCCAGCUAGCCAUCCGCCGAAGUUCCUUCUAUGACUCGGCGGGCAGCUUCCGGGAAACCAAAGCUCUUGGGUUCCGGGGGAAGUAU
rnacentral:rRNA from 1 species